rnacentral:rRNA from 1 species
GUGAGGAAUAUUGGUCAAUGGAGGCAACUCUGAACCAGCCAAGUAGCGUGCAGGACGACGGCCCUAUGGGUUGUAAACUGCUUUUAUAAGGGGAUAAAGGAUGCCACGUGUGGUGUUUUGCAUGUACCUUAUGAAUAAGGACCGGCUAAUUCCGUGCCAGCAGCCGCGGUAAUACGGAAGGUCCGGGCGUUAUCCGGAUUUAUUGGGUUUAAAGGGAGCGCAGGCGGGCGAUUAAGCGUGACGUGAAAUGCAGCGGCUCAACCGUAUGAAGUGCGUCGCGAACUGGUUGCCUUGAGUGAGUUCGACGUGCGCGGAAUUCGUGGUGUAGCGGUGAAAUGCUUAGAUAUCACGAAGAACUCCGAUUGCGAAGGCAGCGCACGAGGCCUUUACUGACGCUAAAGCUCGAAGGUGCGGGUAUCGAACAGGAUUAGAUACCCUUGUAGUCC